AUUGAACGCUGGCGGCAUGCCUUACACAUGCAAGUCGAACAGCAGCGCGGACUUCGGUCUGGCGGCGAGUGUCGAACGGGUGAGUAAUACAUCGGAACGUACCCUGUUGUGUGGGAUAACUAUUCGAAAGAUUAGCUAAUACCCCAUACGACCUGAGUGUGAAAGUGGGGGACCGGGAACGGGCUCAUUCAGCAGGAUCGGCCGAUUUCUGAUUAGCUAGUUGGUGGGGUAAAGGCCCACCAAGGCGACGAUCAGUAGCUGGUCUGAGCGGACGAUCAGCCACACUGGGACUGAGACACGGCCCAGACUCCUACGGGAGGCAGCAGUGGGGAAUUUUGGACAAUGGGGGCAACCCUGAUCCAGCAAUGCCGCGUGUGUGAAGAAGGCCUUCGGGUUGUAAAGCACUUUUGUCCGGAAAGAAAUCGCGCUGGUUAAUACCUGGCGUGGAUGACGGUACCGGAAGAAUAAGCACCGGCUAACUACGUG
rnacentral:rRNA from 1 species